UUUUAUGGAGAGUUUGAUCCUGGCUCAGGAUGAACGCUGGCGGCGUGCCUAAUACAUGCAAGUCGAGCGAACGGACGAGAAGCUUGCUUCUCUGAUGUUAGCGGCGGACGGGUGAGUAACACGUGGAUAACCUACCUAUAAGACUGGGAUAACUUCGGGAAACCGGAGCUAAUACCGGAUAAUAUUUUGAACCGCAUGGUUCAAAAGUGAAAGACGGUCUUGCUGUCACUUAUAGAUGGAUCCGCGCUGCAUUAGCUAGUUGGUAAGGUAACGGCUUACCAAGGCAACGAUGCAUAGCCGACCUGAGAGGGUGAUCGGCCACACUGGAACUGAGACACGGUCCAGACUCCUA
rnacentral:rRNA from 1 species